rnacentral:rRNA from 1 species
AUACGAACUGUGCAAACGUUAUUCGGAAUCACUGGGCUUAAAGGGUGCGUAGGCGGCAAUGUAGGUCAGGUGUGAAAUCCCACGGCUCAACCGUGGAACUGCGCUUGAAACCACAUAGCUUGAGGGAGAUAGAGGAGAGCGGAACUGAUGGUGGAGCGGUGAAAUGCGUUGAUAUUAUCAGGAACACCGGUGGCGAAAGCGGCUCUCUGGAUCUUUUCUGACGCUGAGGCACGAAAGCUAGGGGAGCGAACGGGAUUAGAAACCCGAGUAGUCC